rnacentral:rRNA from 1 species
GGCCACUUCGGUGGUACUCGAGCGGCGAACGGGUGAGUAACACGUGAGUAAUCUGCCCUUGGCUUCGGGAUAGCCACCGGAAACGGUGAUUAAUACCGGAUAUGACCGUCUGCCGCAUGGUGGGUGGUGGAAAGUUUUUUCGGCCAGGGAUGUGCUCGCGGCCUAUCAGCUUGAUGGUGAGGUAAUGGCUCACCAUGGCUUCGACGGGUAGCCGGCCUGAGAGGGUGACCGGUCACACUGGGACUGAGACACGGCCCAGACUCCUACGGGAGGCAGCAGUGGGGAAUAUUGGACAAUGGGCGGAAGCCUGAUCCAGCAACGCCGCGUGAGGGAUGACGGCCUUCGGGUUGUAAACCUCUUUCAGCAGGGACGAAGCGCAAGUGACGGUACCUGCAGAAGAAGCACCGGCCAACUACGUGCCAGCAGCCGCGGUAAUACGUAGGGUGCGAGCGUUGUCCGGAAUUAUUGGGCGUAAAGGGCUCGUAGGCGGUUUGUCGCGUCGGGAGUGAAAACCAGGUGCUUAACACCUGGCUUGCUUUCGAUACGGGCAGACUAGAGGUAUUCAGGGGAGAACGGAAUUCCUGGUGUAGCGGUGAAAUGCGCAGAUAUCAGGAGGAACACCGGUGGCGAAGGCGGUUCUCUGGGAAUGACCUGACGCUGAGGAGCGAAAGUGUGGGGAGCGAACAGGAUUAGAUACCCUGGUAGUCCACACCGUAAACGUUGGGCGCUAGGUGUGGGGUCCAUUCCACGGAUUCCGUGCCGCAGCUAACGCAUUA